rnacentral:rRNA from 1 species
GAUGAACGCUGGCGGCGUGCCUAAUACAUGCAAGUCGAACGAACAGACGAGGAGCUUGCUCCUUUGACGUUAGCGGCGGACGGGUGAGUAACGCGUGGAUAAUCUACCUAUAAGACUGGGAUAACUUCGGGAAACCGGAGCUAAUACCGGAUAAUAUGUUGAACCGCAUGGUUCAAUAGUGAAUGACGGUUUUGCUGUCACUUAUAGAUGGAUCCGCGCCGCAUUAGCUAGUUGGUAAGGUAACGGCUUACCAAGGCAACGAUGCGUAGCCGACCUGAGAGGAUGAUCGGCCACACUGGAACUGAGACACGGUCCAUACUCCUACGGGAGGCAGCAGUAGGGAAUCUUCCGCAAUGGGCGCAAGCCUGACGGAGCAACACCGCGUGGGUGAUGAAGGUCUUCGGUUCGUAAAGCCCUGUUAUUAGGGAAGUACAAAUGUGUAAGUAAAUAUGGACGUCUUGACGGUACCUAAUCAGAAAGCCCCGGCUAACUACGUG